rnacentral:lncRNA from 1 species
UUGAAAGAAAGAGAUCAAUUCCUUCUCUUUGUAAAAGCUGAAAGAAAGAGAUAAAUUCCUUCUCUUUGUUCAGCAUUAUAUAUAUAUAUAUAUAUUAAAAUUUUUAAUUUUUUUUAUUUUGAUUUGGCCAAUUUAAUUUAUUUUUUAAUAAUGAUAACUUUUGAAUCUAACCUAAUUAUCUAAUCUUAUAAGCGAAUCCAACUAAAACUUUAAAUUUAUAUGUAGAUAAUUAUAAUUUUAUAAAUUUUAAAAUUUUUUCUUAUCCAUAUAUAUAUAAACAUAUAUAUUCAUUCAAGCGUACAACUAUAUUUUCAUAAGGUAUUUACUCUCUUUUAUUAUCUCUACUUUUACUAUUCAAUAUUUUUAUUUUCGUACUUUUAUGAGUUCUUUAUUUUAUUAUCUUCUACUUUAUAAUUUAAUAUUUUUAUUUUAUUAUCUGUUGCUCUUUCAAUUUUUGGUUAAUUUAUAUAUCAUGCAUAUAUGAAAGGCAAUAAGGGAGGAGACAAUUAAAGCUGCUCAAGAUGAGGCCUCUGUGCAGUAUAGAAACCUCCGGUGUUGAAACAACCAACAUACACUAAGACAGAAAAUUAGUAGUUGUAUCUUUAUUGUUCGGCUGCCAUCUCGGUGUCGUUGUUGAAUGUUUAUGACAGCUAGAACUAGAAUGGAAGAAACUUACGAAGAUUUCUCAUUGUUCCACUUCAUGCUUCAGCCUUCCGCCGCUGGUAUUUCUUUUUGCCAAGUUGUAUAUAUUACUAUCAACAACCCGUAGAAGUUUUUACAAUUGACUUUUCUUUUUCAUUUAGCCAAUUAUAUAUAUAAUUUCCGGUUGUGCUAUUUCAUGGGUUGUCUUGACGUUGACUAAUGGGUUGUCAGCUUUGAAAGUGCAAACUCAACUUUUUUUUUAAAAAAAAAAAAAUAAAAUAGAAACGAUGGUGAAUUUAUCAAAUUUAAUGUCUAAGAUUCAAAUAUUUCAAGUAUGCAAUCAUAUUAAAAAUUUCUAAUAAAGAGUUUCAUAU